AUUGAACGCUGGCGGCAGGCCUAACACAUGCAAGUCGAACGAGUGGCGGAAGGGUGAGUAAUGUCUGGGAAACUGCCCGAUGGAGGGGGAUAACUACUGGAAACGGUAGCUAAUACCGCAUACCAUCGGAUGUGCCCAGAUGGGAUUAGCUUGUAGGUGGGGUAACGGCUCACCUAGGCGACGAUCCCUAGCUGGUCUGAGAGGAUGAACAGACACAUGUGAACUGAGACACUGUCCAUAUCCCUACGUGCGGCAGCAGGGGGGAAUAGUGCACAAUGGGCGCAAGCCUGAUGCAGCCAUGGGUCGUGGAUGAAGAAGGCGUUCGGGUUGGAAAGUACUUUCAGCGGUGAGGCGUUACCCUCAGAAGAAGAAACGGCUAACUCCGUGCCAGCAGCCGCGGUAAUUC
rnacentral:rRNA from 1 species